GCGGUAGGUCAAAACUUUAAAGUCCCAUAACUCCCGAACCCUUUAUCCGAAUGGGCUGAUUUUCACAUAUGUUGUUCCUCCAGACUAGGGCUAUCUGGAGAUACUGGAUUUGUGGAUGUACCCCAAGUAUUUGGGGUACAUCCAAAACUCGGGGAAAACUAUGUACAUGUUAAUUAUGUUAACUGGUUAUCUGAGGGGAGGGAAUCUGUGGGUUGUAACCAUUAUGCUAUUGGUAUACUGUAAAUCCCUCCCUUGCAUGGGAGAAUCCUUUAUAAGCCUGUUGUGUGAAUAAAUCAG